GUCGUUUCUUUGUUGAAUAUGGUUCCAACACAUGUGAAAAUGAUUGACUUGUUUCCUGUACCUAAGAAGAAAAGAGCAGUUAUAGCCACAGAAACCACAUUGACACAGGCAUUCAAUGUACUGUAACAUUGACAGAAUUUUCAAGAAACGGGUCAAAGUGUUUCAUGGCUGUUCUAUACAUGUGGCUGCCACUGGUUAUAAUUUGGUGUCGGAAUGCAACAUUACAAUAGUUGCAAUAGUCCUGAGAAUGACUGCACAUGUAAGGAUUGUGAUAUUGCUCACCUUUUUAUAUGUUCCUGUAAAAACUCCAUCAGUCAAUGAAGAUCCAGGAUUCACCAUUACUUGUACAAAUCGCAAAGGUGAAGUCAUAUACCGUAAAAAGGACUGGACUACAGCUUUUUCAGCAGGCAAUGCUAAAUGUACAAAGCGAGCAAAAGGCAAAGAAUUUCAGUGCCUAGAGUGGCAAUCCGAACUCUUUGAGACAUUUAAAAACCAAAAUAUCAAUUUCCCCUCAUACGGUGGCAUCUGGAGAGGGUGGAAAAAAUCAACAAAUUCACAAAAUACAAAACCAUUCGGAACAAAUCAAAUUUCACAUCUUGAUCAUAGCCAUACCAGUAUUAGGGCUAUUCAUUGUAUGAUUGGUGUGCUGCUAUACCAGAAGAUGGAAAGAUUGACAUCCUCAAACAUCUAAGGAGUAUUCACUAGUAACUUAAUAGAAUCAAAUGGAAGCAAGCCCCCCUAAUGAUUGCAUCCAACUAUAACAAACCAUGGCAGGCAGCAAAAACCAUAUUGUCUGUGACGACAAGCCUUUCAGUUGUCUGUGACGACUGAAAGAAGGAAAAAAAUCCCACUUAACAUGCAGAAGAUAACACAACAAUAAGAGACAACCUUUUAAUAAAUUCAGAAUUUGGAUGACUGUGAUUUUUUUAAAAAGUAUUACUUUUUAAAGCAGUGUUUUGUAUUUUGUAGAAUCUGUAAGGUCAAUAAGACUUUUAUUUUGUUGUUAAAA
rnacentral:lncRNA from 1 species